CCUACGGGAGGCAGCAGUGGGGAAUAUUGGUCAAUGGCCGGAAGGCUGAACCAGCCAUGCCGCGUGAAGGUCAGUGCCCUAUGGGCGUUAAACUUCUUUUGUGCGGGAGCAAUAAUGGUCACGUGUGGCCAGACGAGAGUACCGUACGAAUAAGCAUCGGCUAACUCCGUGCCAGCAGCCGCGGUAAUACGGGGGAUGCAAGCGUUAUCCGGAUUUAUUGGGGUUAAAGGGUGCGUAGGCUGUGAGGUAAGUCAGCGGUGAAAUGCCCCCGCUCAACGGGGUGAAGUGCCAUUGAUACUGCCUUGCUGGAAUGCGGAUGCCGUGGGAGGAAUGUGUGGUGUAGCGGUGAAAUGCAUAGAUAUCACACAGAACACCGAUUGCGAAGGCAUCUCACGAAUCCGCGAUUGACGCUGAUGCACGAAAGCGUGGGUAUCAAACAGGAUUAGAUACCCCAGUAGUC
rnacentral:rRNA from 1 species